UACGAAGGGGGCUAGCGUUGUUCGGAAUUACUGGGCGUAAAGCGCAUGCAGGCGGAUCGCUAAGUCAGGGGUGAAAGCCCGAGGCUCAACCUCGGAACUGCCUUUGAUACUGGCGAUCUUGAGUCCGGGAGAGGUGAGUGGAACUCCGAGUGUAGAGGUGAAAUUCGUAGAUAUUCGGAAGAACACCAGUGGCGAAGGCGGCUCACUGGCCCGGUACUGACGCUGAGAUGCGAAAGCGUGGGGAGCAAACAGG
rnacentral:rRNA from 1 species